rnacentral:misc_RNA from 1 species
AUAAAAUUGUUCAAUUUCAUAUUGAAGCUUAACUAAAAACGUAGGUUUAUAGCCAAUGCCAUCUCUUGAGUAAUCUCCAAAAGUUUCACAAGCAAAAAUUAUGCUUUGUUAACCAGUUCCUGGUUGCAUAAUAGAAUUCCGAGUUUCUGUGCAUUAUAGCAUACAACUUAUUCUGACAGAAUUUUAUAAGUACAAUUGAUAAUACCAUGAAACUAAGGGGUUGCUUCAACUUCAUACUCGUGGGAAAUUUUGAGAGGAGAUUGCCUUGAAACAGGCCUUUCUUCAGACCAUAGCUCCAGGUUAACUGU